AUCUCAAAGUCGUAAUCUUUCUUAUGCUCUCGAUCGAUAGGAGAACUCCGUAGUAUUAUAUCAUUUGGUUUCUGUCCCUCAGAUUCAUAUCUUGGCGUCGUAUCUCCAUUUGCUUGUUGUUUUGUAUAUGAAUCGCCGAUUGUAUUUUGCCUAUUCGUAUAAACAUUUAGCCGAUUCACAGCUUCUUAGGUCGGUUAACAACAAUGGAUAGAUGUUGUUGAUUGUGUGGAAUUAGAUAAAGGUCCGAACAUUCGAUGCAAUUCACGGUUAAGAGUAACCAUGUCGUGUCUAUGGGAUGUUGAUUUGAUUUGUAAAACUUGUAAUUGUUUGCUGGCCGAGGCACAUGGUCCAUGAGAAUGCAUUGACAUAGCUUUGAGAGUUGCGUAUGGUUUCUAAAAUGUUAUGUUUGUUUGUGUUUUUCUUACGAAUUGUGUGAAUAAUUCCAUCUCUCAGUGACAUGUAUUGGAAGUAAACAUUUUAUAUUUAGAUGCUAAUUCUCUUAUAGUAACUAUUACAAGCGUAGAUUAACUUAAUAGACCUUCUCUUCUUUGUUAUAGCUUUUGUCGGUUUGCAAGUUUCGUCCUUUUGAGCGAUGUCUUUGAAGAAAGUGUGAUAUAUAUACUUUUUCUUUCAAGAAAAAAGAAAGAAAGUGUGAUAUAUGUAUGUAUGAAAAUGGGCAGCGUAGAUUAAAUUCUCUUCUAGUGAUUAUUAGUUUAUUACAGCGUAGAUUAAAUUAAAUAAACCUUCUUUUCUUGAUUAUAGCUUUUAUCGGUUUGCAAGUUUCGAUUUGUUUGAAGAAGUUUGAUAUAUAUAUGUGUGAAAAUGGGC
rnacentral:lncRNA from 1 species